rnacentral:tRNA from 1 species
AGUGUAGCUCAAUGGCUAGAGCAACGGACUUUUAAUCCGUGGGUUGCAGGUUCAAGUCCUGUCACUCCU